rnacentral:rRNA from 1 species
CAUGCUAUACUGCAGUCGAACGAGCUUCCGUUGAAUGACGUGCUUGCACUGAUUUCAACAAUGAAGCGAGUGGCGAACUGGUGAGUAACACGUGGGAAAUCUGCCCAGAAGCAGGGGAUAACACUUGGAAACAGGUGCUAAUACCGUAUAACAACAAAAUCCGCAUGGAUUUUGUUUGAAAGGUGGCUUCGGCUAUCACUUCUGGAUGAUCCCGCGGCGUAUUAGUUAGUUGGUGAGGUAAAGGCCCACCAAGACGAUGAUACGUAGCCGACCUGAGAGGGUAAUCGGCCACAUUGGGACUGAGACACGGCCCAAACUCCUACGGGAGGCAGCAGUAGGGAAUCUUCCACAAUGGACGAAAGUCUGAUGGAGCAAUGCCGCGUGAGUGAAGAAGGGUUUCGGCUCGUAAAACUCUGUUGUUAAAGAAGAACACCUUUGAGAGUAACUGUUCAAGGGUUGACGGUAUUUAACCAGAAAGCCACGGCUAACUACGUGCCAGCAGCCGCGGUAAUACGUAGGUGGCAAGCGUUGUCCGGAUUUAUUGGGCGUAAAGCGAGCGCAGGCGGUUUUUUAAGUCUGAUGUGAAAGCCUUCGGCUUAACCGGAGAAGUGCAUCGGAAACUGGGAGACUUGAGUGCAGAAGAGGACAGUGGAACUCCAUGUGUAGCGGUGGAAUGCGUAGAUAUAUGGAAGAACACCAGUGGCGAAGGCGGCUGUCUAGUCUGUAACUGACGCUGAGGCUCGAAAGCAUGGGUAGCGAACAGGAUUAGAUACCCUGGUAGUCCAUGCCGUAAACGAUGAGUGCUAAGUGUUGGAGGGUUUCCGCCCUUCAGUGCUGCAGC